UUCAUGUUAAACUUGAUUUAGCAGUGCUGUAGUUCAGGUGUUUUUGAUUGUGCAGUGCUGUAGUUCAGGUGUUUGUGAUUGUGUGGUGCUGUAGUUCAGGUGUGUGUUUCUGGUGUUUAUGAUUGUGCGGGGCUGUAGGUCAGGUGUGUGUUUCAGGUGUUUGUGAUUGUGCGGGGCUGUAGGUCAGGUGUGUGUUUCAGGUGUUUGUCCGGUGCUGUAGUUCAGGUGUGUGUUUCAGGUGUUUGUGCAGGGUUGUAGUUCAGGUGUUUGUGAUUGUGCGGGGCUGUAGUUCAGGUGUUUGUGAUUGUGCAGUGCUGUAGUUCAGGUGUGUGUUUUAGGUGUUUGUGAUUGUGCAGUGCUGUAGUUCAGGUGUGUGUUUCAGGUGUUUGUGAUUGUGCAGUACUGUAGUUUAGGUGCGUGUUUCAGGUGUUUGUGCGGUGCUGUAGUUCAGGUGUGUUUCGGGUGUUUGUGGUUGUGUGGGGCUGUAGUUCAGGUGUUUGUGAUUGUGCGGUGCUGUAGUUCAGGUGUUUGUGAUUGUGCUGUAGUUCAAGUGUGUUUUUCAGGUGUUUGUGAUUGUGUGGGGCUGUAGGUCAGGUGUGUGUUUCAGGUGUUUGUGCGGUGCUGUAGUUCAGGUGUGUGUUUCAGGUGUUUGUGGUUGUGCGGGGCUGUAGUUCAGGCGUUUGUGAUUGUGCAAUGAUUUAGUUCAGGUGUGUGUUUCAGGUGUUUGUGGUUGUGCGGGGCUGUAGUUCAGGUGUUUGUGAUUGCUCGGGAUUGUGCAGUGCUGUAGUUCAGGUGUGUGUUUCGGGUGUUUGUGAUUGUGUGGGGCUGUAGUUCAGGUGUGUGUUUCAGGUGUUUGUGAUUGUGCUGUAGUUCAGGUGUGUGUUUCAGGUGUUUGUGAUUGUGCAGGGCUGUAGGUCAGGUGUGUGUUUCAGGUGUUUGUGCGGUGCUGUAGUUCAGGUGUGUGUUUUGGGUGUUUGUGCGGGCUGUAGUUCAGGUGUGUGUUUCAGGUGUUUGUGGUUGUGGGGGGCUGUAGGUCAGGUGUGUGUUUCAGGUGUUUGCAUGGUGCUGUAGUUCAGGUGUGUGUUUCAGUUGUUUGUGAUUGUGCGGGGCUGUAGUUCAGGUGUUUGUGAUUUUGCGGUGCUGUAGUUCAGGUGUGUGUUUCAGGUGUUUGUGAUUGUGCAGUGCUGUAGUUUAGGUGCGUGUUUCAGGUGUUUGUGCGGUGCUGUAGUUCAGGUGUGUUUCGGGUGUUUGUGGUUGUGUGGGGCUGUAGUUCAGGUGUUUUUGAUUGUGCAGGGCUGUAGUUCAGGUGUGUGUUUCAGGUGUUUGUGAUUGUGCGGUGCUGUAGUUCAGGUGUGUGUUUCAGGUAUUUUUGAUUGUGCUGUGGUGUAGUUCAGGUGUGUUUCAGGUGUUUGUGAUUGUGCUGUGCUGUAGUUCAGGUGUGUGUUUCAGGUGUUUUUGAUUGUGCUGUGCUGUAUUUCAGGUGUGUGUUUCAGGUGUUUGUGAUUGUGCGGGGCUGUAGUUCAGGUGUUUGUGAUUGUACGGUGCUGUAGUUCAGGUGUUUGUGAUUGUGCGGUGCUGUAGUUCAUUGUCCCCUUUUAAAUAAGGAGGUUCAGUCAGUAAGUCAACUCAGAGUUCAAGUUUUAAUUCAAAGAUGGGAAUCUCUGAAUCACUAAAUAUCUUAUGUAAUUUACUAAUAUAUAAUUUAGAAGUAUGAAGUAUUUCAACAUCACUUGCGCUUUUAAAAUGUGGAGCAGACUGAAAGAAAACUUGAUCCUGACCAGGUUAGGUUCAUAGGU